GAUAAGGUAGUUCAAGUAGAAUGAUAGAUUGUGGUUCUAUAGAUGAAAACAUAUUCCCUUAUUA
rnacentral:tRNA from 1 species